GACGAACCGUGCAACCGUUGUUCGGAUUCACUGGGCUUAAAGGGCGCGUAGGCGGGUGGUCAAGUCAGGGGGGAAAUCUUUCAGCUCAACUGGAAAACAGCUUCUGAUACUGGCCAUCUUGAGGGAGGUAGGGGCAUGUGGAACUUCCGGUGGAGCGGUGAAAUGCGUAGAUAUCGGAAGGAACGCCGGUGGCGAAAGCGACGUGCUGGACCUUUUCUGACGCUGAGGCGCGAAAGCCAGGGGAGCAAACGGG
rnacentral:rRNA from 1 species